AAGAAAAGUCAUGUAAAUGGCGUUUUCCUGAAACAAAGAGAGACUGAGUCUGUGUGUCUUACUGUUAUAAAAGCUUACGCUUACACCUUUCCACCAUGAUGGCUGAAAUAAGUGACACAUGAUGAAGCUAGAAAUAGACGCAGUAUUCUUAAAUCUUUGGGUGCGUUGUACGGCAUAACAAGCCUAGAUUGUUCUUCAUUGGUAUGACGCCGACUGCACUUAAAAUAAUAGAAUUUGUAUACAUAUAUGUAUGUAUGCUUUAUUUCCACAAAAACUAAAUACAGCUUUGCGGGGGUAAAGUGGGGAAAAAAGCUGCUCGUAGCAGCUUUUUGCAUCUUCCACAAUUGAGUGUUAAAUUCAUACACCGGUGUGACCACUGCAGCGAAAUAUUUGCUGAAAACUGCACUCUAAAAACUAGGAAGGGUAUCGCAGGAGUGAAGCUGCCGGUUCACUCUUCAAAGCGUCGUUUUACUCUCGCAAAAUGUCGAGGAGAGUGAAAUGCAUUGUUCACUCUGUCACCAAGGAGAGAGUGAAAUGCGCUUUUCACUCUCCCCUUCAGAGAGAGAGAGUGAAAAUACUCUUGCGACAAUAGAAAAGAGAGACUCUUGCGGCAAUAGAAAACAAAACGUAGCGUAAUCUUCUGCUUCAACUGUAGGUGGCUGGCCCCGAACAUGGCAAUGUAUCAUUCAUGCACGUUGAGCAAAGAACACAUCGUUUUGCUUCUAAGAGAACAGGCCGCCGCAGUUCAAAGGAACGCGUAGCGAGCGCUCUACUUUUUCACUCGGAGUGGCUCCACCGCGCGCGCGCGCGCUCAAGAUCGCGGAACAACACAGCACCGGAGUCAGGUGAUCCAUCCAGCGAGCAAUGGCCAGCCGAGGGAGAUCGUGUGUCGGCCAUCUCGCGUCGCCACGAAAACACAACAGUCGUUCGUCAUGCCUUGGAUAUAACAACAAAUCCUCCACGGCACCCGCUUUAUAUAACGCAAGAAGGCAGCUGCAAGGACACGAGGAUGUGAAAGAGCCAGUGCAGCGCGACUUCACGUAGUGCAGAGGAGCCAAUGCCAAAAAAUCAAAAUACAUUGGCAUGUUAUUUGGACAAGAAAACUAGGACAACCCAGGACGUGCAUUUCUCAGCACCCAGUCAGCUGCCAAAAGUGACUCAAACACAGGCCACCAAUAAGGGGACAUCAGUUGCAAUUUCACAUUAUGCAGUUGGCGGCUGCCUUGUAUGGAGGCUGUAUUUUUUUUAAUGAGAUGGUGAUGUCGUUCUAAUGUACAUUUUGACCACAAAGGUGCGAUCAUGUCUCACAGAGGCAUAUAUGGUUGCUAUUCUCUGCGAGGGACGUGUUCUCGUGUUCGUGAAGCAUUUGUGUUUGGCAGUAUUGUCGCCCAAUGAGUCGGAUAUAAACACUAACUCGCCA